GUGUCUGCUCUAGAAACUCAGAAAUUCAGUAGAUCUGAGCCGUACAUUAAAUACUCACAUGAAGCUUUACUUUGCAUUCUGUAUGAGCUGUAUAAAAUACAGCAAUGAUUAAGUGUGUGAAUGAAUAGAAAUGUGACACAUGAGAAGGUGCGUCUUUGACUGUUCCUGUAUAACUUAUUUUCAGACUAGUUAACAAGUUAUGCUCCGGUCAUUUGAUGUUUCCAAGAUAGAUGUCAUUUUGUAAUAUAGUUACAUUUUCUUUGUACAUUUCAAUUAUCCACCAUCAUACAUUAAGCCAAGAAGAGGUCAUUAUACUAACAAGACGUAUCAACGCUGGGCCAAAGUUCAGCACGUGGUUAAAGUUUGUAAUCCAGCCGGGGUGUAAAUAUCACUCAGCAGCCAGUCAUAGAGAUGAAACAGGAAGCAUCAACACAUAAAUCUACCCGGCUUAAAUCACAAGAGCACCUCUGACCAAAAAGCUGUAGAUUUUUCUUGUUUGCACAAAUUAAUUCAGAUUCACACUAAUUCUGUUCACAGCUCCAACGAAAUGAGGAAGAGGAUGAAGAAAAACAAUUAGAUUGAAUUACAAUUGGAUGGAAGUCGAGGACAAGGAGAAGGAAGCUUAGGAUGAGGAGGAAGAGAAGCAGCAGGAGCAUCUUUAUGGAUCUCUAUGAUGUCAUUGAGAGGCGGCGGCGAGAGGGGAGACCUUGGCUCAUCCAGCUAGAGAGCCUGACCAGGAGGAGGGCCCCCUGCAGACUCAGCUGCUGGCAUCGGUGAGGGAGUGCGGCCGCCGCUGGGAUGACGUGAACACCAAACAGGAGUCCAUCACAGGUUGACUGCAGCUCCUUGUCUCAGAGUGGGAGGGAUUUGAAGCACAAAGGGAGGAGCUUGUCGUUUGGUUGGCUGAUAUGGAUGUCCACCUGAGUGAGGUUGACCAGCUGACAGGAAACACUUGUGAAAAACUGAAACAACUGCAGGUGUGGGGUUGUUUUGAUAUGAAAUAUAUUUGAUAUGAUACAUACAUCAGAGACAUUAUCCUAAACUGGACUAACAAAGGACCACGAGUCCAACAUUAAACUUACCUUACAUAACGUAAGGCUGAAGUUCAUUGAUCAUUUUAAUCAAAAACUUGUUGUUGAAAUAUUUUUACUGAACAUGCAAACAUCUGCUGAUGAAAAUGUGUUGAUUUAUUGGUCUGUUAUGAAGCUAUUGCUAUUUCUAAUGUGUUUUUAUCACUUUCUGAUGUUUUAUUAAUUAAACAAUAGAUGUAUUGUUGUGUUAUCUAUAGAUAUAGUAUUUAUAUAUAUUUAUUUAUAGUAUAGUAAAAAUGUUUAAUUAUUACUGUUUAAAUGACUAAUAUGUGACAUGUAUUAGUUGUG